rnacentral:rRNA from 1 species
GACGAACGCUGGCGGCGUGCUUAACACAUGCAAGUCGAACGAAGUGGCGAACGGGUGAGUAACGCGUAAUCAACCUGCCCUUCAGAGGGGGACAACAGUUGGAAACGACUGCUAAUACCGCAUACUGAAGGAGGGGCUUGCGUCUGAUUAGCUAGUUGGAGGGGUAACGGCCCACCAAGGCGAUGAUCAGUAGCCGGUCUGAGAGGAUGAACGGCCACAUUGGGACGGAGACACGGCCCAGACUCCUACGGGAGGCAGCAGUGGGGAAUCUUCCGCAAUGGACGAAAGUCUGACGGAGCAACGCCGCGUGAGUGAAGAAGGUUUUCGGAUCGUAAAGCUCUGUUGUUAAGGAAGCGGUACCGGAAUAGAAAGCCACGGCUAACUACGUGCCAGCCGCCGCGGUAAUUC